GGCCUUAAAUCAAUAUUCUUGAGAGGAGGUAAUAUCUUAUAUUUUUAAAUUUUCAAUGGAAUUGGAAUACAUAUUCUUUGUAUAAUUUAUUCAUUAGAAAAAUAAGUAGUUGAAUUUGUAAUUUCCCCAUGAUGGCUCAAAUUGGUAGAACUGUUCAACCAACUUUCCUGGUUCUUUCUACAGAUGGAGUGUUAGAAUUUUUAUAUGAUAUAUUGAAUGAGUCUAAAUGCUGUUAAAACUGUCAUAUCUAAUAGAAACAUUCCAACA
rnacentral:misc_RNA from 1 species